UCCCGGAUGGUUCAGUCGGUAGAGCAUCAGACUCAUAAUUUCAGGGUGGUGGUUUCAAGCCCCACAAUGGGCA